AUUGAACGCUGGCGGCAGGCCUAACACAUGCAAGUCGAGCGGAGCGGCGGACGGGUGCGUAAUGCCUAGGAAUCUGACUGGUAGUGGGGGAUAACGUCCGGUACCGGGCGCUAAUACUGCAUACUAUCAUAUGAGACUCGGUAGGAUUAGCUUGUGGGUGGGGUAAAGGCCUACCAAGGCGACGAUCAGUAACUGGUCUGAGAGGAUGAUCAGUCACACUGGAACUGAGACACGGUCCAGACUCCUACGGGAGGCAGCAGUGGGGAAUAUUGGACAAUGGGCGAAAGCCUGAUCCAGCCAUGCCGCGUGUAUGAAGAAGGUCUUCGGGUUGUAAAGCACUUUAAGUUGGGAGGCGUUACCAACAGAAGAAGCACCGGCUAACUUCGUGCCAGCAGCCGCGGUAAUAC
rnacentral:rRNA from 1 species